GGUCUUUUUGGUAGAACGAAUGUCGCGUUUAGAGUUGGAAAAAAAAAGAAAAAAUGGAAAAUAGAAAAUAGAAAAAAGUAUUUUGGUCCACCUUCCGUCUUCUAUCGCCGUUGUCUUCCUCCAUCGUGUUAGGGUUUCCACUUUGCAGAGUUUCAAUUUACUCUCAUUAUCACAUCGCAAUUCCUCCGUGUUUCUGUUUUGAUAACUCGCAAAUAUUCUACUUAAUAGCCCGACAUCUCGUUCCCUGAAUACUGAUUUUGAGCUUUCCCCUGAUUUUUUUAGGGAAACAAAUUAUUGCCCCUUCCUUUUUUCCAAUCAUCUCCAGUGAAAAAAAAAAAAAAAACUAUAUCUGAAGUUUAUUGGGGAUCGGGUAUUGGGAAAUGCCUCGAGACUUGUCACGAUCCCGAUCGCCUCCCUAUAGGCGGAGGCAUUCACCAUCUCCUGUGGGACACAGGUAUAGCAGGAGGAGCAGAAGAGACAGAAGCAGAUCUCCUUAUUCGUCCUACUCUUACAGCAGGUGACCCCGUUUAUAUGUUUAUUUGUUUGAUAUAUUUUGUAAAUUAUUUGCUAUGUAACUUAAACAUUUUAUUUAUCUAUAUUUUGUUGCUGUUCUUUUUUAUAAUGUAAUUGUAAACUGUACUCGUUGGACAUACCGAGGACAUUAAACAGUUAUAAUAUUUGAUAUCUACAAAAUUGGAAAUCUGAAUUAGACUUGAACUUGAGAUCAUGGUGAGGGUUAUGUUAUUGACUUGAGAAUAAUAAUGUAUAAAACAAUGUGUUUUGGCUUCCUUUUCCCUCCUAUCCAUUAUGUUAAUGCUGUAUUUAAAUGUCAAUUUAAAAAUAAAAUGAUUUUCCUUGGUCGUGUAUUUUUCAAGAACUGACUAUUUUUUUGUUUGAAGAAAUGAACAUGGCAUUUCCAGGAUUACAGAGCUAUGGUAUUUUAAUGACCAAAGCACGUAGGUCAAAGUUGAAUCCCAUGGUUGAUAAUGCUUGUUAUUUAAAUUCAAUAUCUACUUGAUAUUUGCUUAUGAUUCACCUUCUCUUUUGUAUAUGCUCAAGUGAACAAGAAUGGACAGUUAGAUUUCUUUUAUUAUGCCAUUUGUCUUCUUCUGUUGAGCUCCUUGAGCCAAUCAACGGGAUACAUACUGUUUUUGCUGGAUGAUUGAUAUUGAUGAUUUUCAAGUAUUUGAUGACCUUGCCAUUAGUAUCUGGUGAUGGUGUUGCUGACUUUGUAAGACUUUGUAUUGAGUUUCUUUCUUUUGUGGGAUUUCCUACUUAUAUGUGGAGGCAGAAACUCAUCAAAAUAACACAUAUAGAGCAUAAUUUAGAGAACAAGAUAGGAUAUAUGCUAUUUGUAACAAUAAAAAAGAUCAGUUUCUUCCCAUAACAUGGGAAGUGAGGGAUAUGAACAGGUGGUGGGUGCUGAUAGGGUGUUUUUUCAUUGCUCGAUUGUGACAUUUGCUUCUUCAUGUGAUAAAAGAUGGAGCACACAAUGGUUAAUCUUAGCAAUUUCUGAGGUAACUGUACAUGUUUUUGUAUUUAGUGUGCUAGAUGGUGGGAAGCAUUUAUAUUCUCUAAAGAUAGCUGUUUAGUUGCUGAGGUUCAUUGCUUAUGAUCAUUUGUCAUCAUACAGGCGAAAAAGUCGUUCUAUUUCACCAAGAGGUCACAGAAGUCCUUCUACAACUCCAAGACGUGGUAGAAGCCGAUCUCCAUCUGCUAAACGAUACAGAAGACAUAGAAGUAGGAGUUCCUCAUUGUCUCCUACUCGUAAAUCUUCCAGUCCAAGUCUUGUGUCAGUAGAGCACAAAAGUGCCACUGAAAAACAAAAGAAAGAAGAAGAGAAGAAAAGGCUUGUCUGAAGAAAGGUACUGCUAUAAUUGGACUUGUUAUGUUUGAUGAUCAAAUUGGCUGCCUCAUUUAUCUACUGUUCACCAGUUUUGAAACUCAUUUGUUUGGAUCAGGAUUCAAUAGAGGUAUGCCUUAAAAGCAUAACCAUUUAUUAGUGCCAUUGUCAUCAUGGAGGUUAGUUUGCCGUUGAUUGUGGUUUUCUAUCAAGUAGUUUAGGAAAGGGUAAACAGAAAAAAGGGAGAAAAAAAUGCAGAAGACAUGUCUCAUGUCUAUUGUCCAGUUUAUAUGUUAUCUGCCUACUAUGAAAAACAUCCACUUAUGUGGCAUUUCCCCCCGGUUCAAGAGGCCAUUUUUCUUGCUUAACAAUUUGUAUGUUUUCACAGGCGUCAACUAGAAGCAGAGUUGAAAUUAAUAGAAGAAGAGACUGCAAAGAGAGUUGAAGAAGCAAUACGUAAGAGAGUUGAAGAAAGCUUGAAAUCUGAGGAGGUUCAGGUGGAGAUUGAAAGGCGGUUGGAAGAGGGACGGAAGAGACUUAAUGAUGAAGUUGCAGCUCAACUUGAAAAAGAAAAAGAAGCUGCCCUUAUUGAGGCUAAACAGAAGGAGGAGCAAGCCCGUAAAGAGAAAGAAGAUCUUGAAAGGAUGCUUGAGGAGAACCGGAGGAAGGUUGAAGAAGCUCAGAGAAGGGAAGCUUUAGAGCAGCAAAGAAGGGAGGAAGAACGAUAUAAAGAGCUGGAAGAGAUGCAAAGACAGAAGGAAGAAGCCAUGCGAAAAAAGAAACAGGAGGAGGAGCAAGAACGUCUAAACCAAAUAAAGUUGUUGGGUAAAAACAAAUCCCGACCAAAAUUGUCAUUUGCUUUUGGAUCCAAAUGACCAUUGGCUUGGGCAACCUGUGUCUAUUUAUUUAGUCUAAAGUGUGUUUGGGCUUAAUUCCCUAUUUGUGUCUGUAAUUUGAGGAAAAUCAGGAAAUUAUACACAGCCUCCUCAACUAUAAUGUGACAGCGUUGUUACCGUUUUCAGUUUGCAUUGGAUUUCAUUGUUUAUCAUUGCCA